GACGAACGCUGGCGGCGUGCUAACACAUGCAAGUCCCGGAGCGAAUGAAAGCUUGCUUUUAUGAGCUUAGUGGCAAACGGGUGAGUAACACGUAGACAACCUGCCGACAGGAUGGGGACAACAUUCCGAAAGGAAUGCUAAUACCGAAUGAAGCGGAGGAGAGGCAUCUCUCCUCCGUGAAAGAUGGCCUCUUUUUAUGCUAUCACCUGUCGAUGGGUCUGCGUCUGAUUAGCUAGUUGGUGAGGUAACGGCUCACCAAGGCGACGAUCAGUAGCCGGUCUGAGAGGAUGAACGGCCACAUUGGGACUGAGACACGGCCCAGACUCCUACGGGAGGCAGCAGUGGGGAAUCUUCCGCAAUGGGCGCAA
rnacentral:rRNA from 1 species